GAGCCCAAGAAAAUAAAGUCUCUCAGUGUUUCAUUGUUUCCCCACCUAUUUGCCACGAAGCAAUGGAACCAGAUGCCAUGAUCUUCAUUUUUUGAAUGUGUAAUUUUUUUUUUUUUAGAUAGGAGAUUCAUAUUUUAUUUCUCCACUGACAUAUUUACAGCGAAUNNNNNNNNNNNNNNNNNNNNNNNNCACACCAAACCCAGGUCCUUUUGGUGGUUCAGUCAAAGAGGUAAGACCUCGAGCUGGCUCACAGAAGUGUCCACUCCUUGGCCCAGGUUUUGGGAUUUUGCCAGUCUUGAGUUCAUCAAUAAUUUCUUUAACAUCCUUAGGUGUCAGAUCCUCAUAGUAGUUGCCAUUUAUUUGAACCAUUGGUACAUUUACACAGGCCCCUAAACACUCCACUUCUAUAAGAGGGAAAAGUUUGUCAGGUGUAGUCUCCAACCUUUAUUCCAAGUCUUUUUCUGAAUGGUCUCCAGUAUGCUGUCGGAGUUCAGCGCAGACUUGAAUGUGUUACAACUGGCUUUCGAUUAUACAUUGUAUAAAAAGUUGAUACUUUAUACACUCUCACUGGAGGUACUUGUAAAAUUUCUUCAGCAUUGUUCAUAGCAGAGAUGGGCAGCCAUACAUCCUGUCUCUGGGAUAAAUCCAGAACUGGAAGCACAGCUGCUGCCUUAUGCCCUUCUGGGUAGUUUUUCACAACGGCCUCUAUCCUCUGGUGUGAAAUCAAAUGGAGUUUCUGGGUUAUUCUCAGGAGUAUCUCUGUGCACAAAUAAGGCUCCUCCAGCUCUAUUCUGAACAGCUGUCUUAUGCAGAUUUCUUAUAUGUUUUCCCCAGUGGGUGGCGAGGAUGGCCGUGCGGGCCUGUAGCGCCGUGGAGAGGAACAUGGCUGGCCAAACUGCAGGCCUCUGGGCCUCGCCAGGCACGGUCCCAAGCAGUCAGUAUGCAUGGCUUGCGCCUCUAUUGUUUU
rnacentral:lncRNA from 1 species